GACGGAGGAUGCAAGUGUUAUCCGGAAUCACUGGGCGUAAAGCGUCUGUAGGUGGUCAAAUAAGUCAACUGUUAAAUCUUGAGGCUCAACCUCAAAAUCGCAGUCGAAACUAUUAGACUAGAGUAUAGUAGGGGUAAAGGGAAUUUCCAGUGGAGCGGUGAAAUGCGUAGAGAUUGGAAGAACACCGAUGGCGAAGGCACUUUACUGGGCUAUUACUAACACUCAGAGACGAAAGCUAGGGUAGCAAAUGGG
rnacentral:rRNA from 1 species